AACCUGCCCCAUAGUCUGGGAUACCACUUGGAAACAGGUGCUAAUACCGGAUAAGAAAGCGGAUCGCAUGAUCAGCUUUUAAAAGGUGGCGUAAGCUGUCGCUAUGGGAUGGCCCCGCGGUGCAUUAGCUAGUUGGUAAGGUAAAGGCUUACCAAGGCGAUGAUGCAUAGCCGAGUUGAGAGACUGAUCGGCCACAUUGGGACUGAGACACGGCCCAAACUCCUACGGGAGGCAGCAGAC
rnacentral:rRNA from 1 species